rnacentral:rRNA from 1 species
UACGUAGGGUGCGAGCGUUAAUCGGAAUUAUUGGGCGUAAAGCGCGCGCAGGCGGGAUGGUAAGUCGGAUGUGAAAGCCCUCGGCUCAACCGAGGAAGUGCGUUCGAAACUACUGUUCUUGAGUGUCGGAGAGGGUGGCGGAAUUCCCGGUGUAGAAGUGAAAUUCGUAGAUAUCAGGAGGAACACCGGUGGCGAAGGCGGAUCUCUGGGCCGUAACUGACGCUGAGGAGCGAAAGCAUGGGGAGCGAACAGG